GCGCCUGCAAAAUCAGGCGUCGGGAUUGACCUCCUGGUAUAAGUUACAGGCGACAUGGUUUACUAUGU
rnacentral:sRNA from 2 species